rnacentral:rRNA from 1 species
CGGUAGCGAUCGAGGGAAAUUAGUACCGAAGUCCGAGAUGGAAGAUGGCGAGAAAAGCUGUGUGUAUUUCUGCGGUGCCCGUACCGCAAACCGACACAGGUAGGUAGGAAGAAGAUUCUAAGGCCAACGGGAGAAGGGUUGUUAAGGAACUCGGCAAAUUGACCCCGUAACUUCGGGAGAAGGGGUGCUGCAGCAAUGCAGCCGCAGAGAAUCGGCCCAAGCAACUGUUUACCAAAAACACAGGUUUGUGCUAAAUCGAAAGAUGACGUAUACGAGCUGACGCCUGCCCGGUGCUGGAAGGUUAAGAGGAGAUGUGCAAGCAUUGAAUCGAAGCCCCAGUGAACGGCGGCCGUAACUAUAACGGUCCUAAGGUAGCGAAAUUCCUUGUCAGGUAAGUUCUGACCCGCAUGAAAGGCGUAAUGAUUUGGGCACUGUCUCAACAGCCCGCCCGGCGAAAUUGUAGUACCGGUGAAGAUGCCGGUUACCCGCGACAAGACGGAAAGACCCCAUGGAGCUUUACUGUAGCCUAAUAUUGGGUUUCGAUGUUGCAUGCACAGGAUAGAUGGGACACUGGGAAGCAGGUGCUUUGGCGCUUGUGGAGUGGCCGUUGGGAUACCAUCCUUGCGAUAUUGGAAUUCUAACCUGCGCCUUUGAAUCAAGGCGGGGGACAUUGUUAGGUGGGCAGUUUGACUGGGGCGGUCGCCUCCUAAAGAGUAACGGAGGCGUUCAAAGGUUCGCUCAGCUUGAACGGAAAUCAAGCAAAAGAGUGCAAACGCAGAAGCGAGCCUAACUGCGAGACUGACGGGUCGAGCAGUAACGAAAGUUGGAGUUAGUGAUCCGGUGGUAUGUGAGUGGAAAUGCCAUCGCUCAACGGAUAAAAGUUACCCUGGGGAUAACAGGCUGAUCUCCCCCAAGAGUCCACAUCGACGGGGAGGUUUGGCACCUCGAUGUCGGCUCAUCGCAUCCUGGGGCUGUAUUCGGUCCCAAGGGUUUGGCUGUUCGCCAAUUAAAGCGGUACGCGAGCUGGGUUCAGAACGUCGUGAGACAGUUCGGUCCCUAUCUGUCGUGGGCGCAGGAUAUUUGAUGGGAGCUGUUCCUAGUACGAGAGGACCGGAGCGGACGUACCUCUGGCGCACCAGUUGUUCUGCCAAGGGCAUAGCUGGGCAACUAUGUACGGAUCGGAUAAACGCUGAAAGCAUCUAAGCGUGAAGCCGACCCAAAGAUAAGAUAUCCCAUUGUUUCAAACAAGUAAGACCCCUUGAAGACUACAAGGUUGAUAGGCACGAUGUGUAAGUGGAGUGAUCCAUUCAGCAAGCGUGUACUAAUAGGUCGAGGGCUUGACCAC